GAUGAUCGCUGGCGGCGUGCCUAAUACAUGCAAGUCGAGCGAACAGACGAGGAGCUUGCUCCUCUGACGUUAGCGGCGGACGGGUGAGUAACACGUGGAUAACCUACCUAUAAGACUGGGAUAACUUCGGGAAACCGGAGCUAAUACCGGAUAAUAUAUUGAACCGCAUGGUUCAAUAGUGAAAGACGGUUUUGCUGUCACUUAUAGAUGGAUCCGCGCCGCAUUAGCUAGUUGGUAAGGUAACGGCUUACCAAGGCAACGAUGCGUAGCCGACCUGAGAGGGUGAUCGGCCACACUGGAACUGAGACACGGUCCAGACUCCUACGGGAGGCAGCAGUAGGGAAUCUUCCACAAUGGGCGAAAGCCUGACGGAGCAACGCCGCGUGAGUGAUGAAGGUCUUCGGAUCGUAAAACUCUGUUAUUAGGGAAGAACAAAUGUGUAAGUAACUAUGCACGUCUUGACGGUACCUAAUCAGAAAGCCACGGCUAACUACGUG
rnacentral:rRNA from 1 species